rnacentral:rRNA from 1 species
AUGGCCGAAGGCGACGACCCCGCCGCCUUCUCCGCCGCCGCCGCAGCCGGUGGGCUGACCCACAUGGCCGCCGUCGCUGCCAUCUCACCUGCAACCACUGCCAUGCCGCCGCCCCCCGCCCGCCGGCCCAGAUUUGCGCCACCCCGGCCGGUGGCCACCGCGCCGGCGGCGAAGCCGGCUAAGGAACGAGGCGGCGGAAAACGGCCGGCCAACCGCAGCCGCAACCCGAUCCACAGUUCUACGCGGCCGGUUCUUGAUGAUGAAGUUUUCAUGCAUGCGGCAAAUGUGGCAAAUGAUGAUUACAUGUAUGCGUCACAAGAAUAUGAAACCCAAUAUGAUGAUGACAAUCUUGAUGUGGACGAUGAGGGCUUUGUUGUCAAGGGAAGAAGUGGAAAUUAUACCACCGUGGAGGAUGUGUUGAUAUGCAUCGCUUGGAAGAAAAUCUCUCAAGAUGCAAGCGUUGGAAGCGACCAAACGGUGAACACCUAUUGGCAACGCAUCAAGGAGUACUUCGAUGAGCGCAACACAAGUGGUCACUUCCAUUCAAGCGACUCUCUACGCCAAUGUUGGUCCACCAUCAACGCCAAAUGCCAAAAGUGGGCCGGUUGCUUGUCAAACGUUGCUCGCAUGAACCCAAGUGGUUGUGGUGAUAGUGACUUGAAAAUGAUUGCACAAGGAUUAUUUCGAGAGAAGAACAUGAAAGGCGAGAAGAAGAAAAGGAAAGGAAAAGCUUUCACUUUUCAUCAUUGCUACAAAGAGCUCAAGGAUGAGGAGAAGUGGAAAACUAGAGAGACUUUUGAAUCGUUGAGGAAGAAGAGUGCGGUGCUUGAGGAUGAAGAAGAUGUCGCCAUUGAGGAGACGAGCCCCACUCCUCACUCCGCGGCAAAAUCUUAUAGGCCCGAUGGAAACAAGAAAGCGAAGGGAACCAAGGCCGGAGACAAUAAUCUCAAGGAAGGAUUUGAUGCCAUUGUCAUGGCGAGGAAAGAGUACGCCGAAGAGAAAAGAAUCUUGAAGCUCAAGGAAAUAGAGGAGAGGAGUGAGGCCGAGCGGCGAAGGGCGGCGGCCGAGGAGAGGUUGGCCGCGACCGAGGAGAGGAAGGUGGACCUAGAGGAGAAUAAGGCCGCGGCCGAUGAGAGGAAGAUGGUUGAGGAGAGGACACUCAAGUUUAUGUUUAUGGACACAUCAACUCUUGAUGCCAAGGCAAAGGCAUAUGCUGAACUUUGCAUGGGAGGUGCCAUGGGAGGUGGCAUGGAAGGUGCCAUGGGAGGAGGCAUGGGAGGUGCCAUGGGUGGUUACAUGAACAUGAUUGAAGAUUCCAUGAAUGGUGCAUUUGGCGGAAACAUGGGAGGUGGCUUCGGUGGCAACAUGGAAGGUGGCUUUGGCGGCAUGGAAGGUGGCUUUGGCGGCAACAUGAUGGGUGGCUUGGGAGGUGGCUAUGGCAACAUGAGUGGUGUUGGAGUUGGCUUCGUCGGCAACAUGACCGGUAUGGGACGCAAUGAAGAUGCUUCCGGUGGUGCUCACGGCAACGAGAGUUCACCGCUUGUUGAGAACGUCGACAAAGACGGUGGUGAAGAUGAUGAUCGUACCACGGUUCACAACGCCGGUGGUGUUGAUGACCCGUAUGAGUAA